AUACGAAGGGGGCUAGCGUUGUUCGGAUUUACUGGGCGUAAAGCGCGUGUAGGCGGGUCGUUAAGUUGGGGGUGAAAUCCCGAGGCUCAACCUCGGAACUGCCUUCAAAACUGGCGACCUGGAGCAAGAUAGAGGCGAGUGGAAUUGCGAGUGUAGAGGUGAAAUUCGUAGAUAUUCGCAGGAACACCAGUGGCGAAGGCGACUCGCUGGAUCUUUGCUGACGCUGAGACGCGAAAGCGUGGGGAGCAAACAG
rnacentral:rRNA from 1 species